CUUAGAUAAUGGAUCUGAUGUUCAUACCAUGCAUAUACUCUGGUUUGAUAAAUCUUCAGCUAAGAGGACCUCCAUGAAGCUGGAUUCCCUCCGGACCGGGAGAAGAUGAGGGAAGAGAGAAGCCCCUCCCAUUCGCUUCUACUGGGGCUUGUUAGGCCAUCGCCUUGGGGGCCGGCUGAUCAGCGGCAGCCAGCAGCCGGCGGCUUCGGCAGGCAGGAACAAGGACAGCCUGUGGCUACUGCAGCCCCACUGCCCGGCCAUGCUUCAUGAUGGGGGAGAGUGCCUUGGGAGGAAUAUACAGGCAAAUCAUCAGUGACAUCUCCACCCUGCCUGUCCCACCUCUCCAGAAAGGACUCCCAGAGGCCUAUGGACUGGAGCUAUUAACAUCCUGCAGAUGGGAGCCACUCUCUCACUGUGAUCACCAAGUAAUUUUCAUCGACUGUGGAGCAGCCUGCUGGGACCCUGCCAGCUGAUCUUAACAAGCCCACUUACUGCAGGAUUCCCACUGCUUUCCUGGGCUAGGAAUUCCUUAACCAAAGGUGGGGAGUGGUGUGAGGCCUUGGUCCAUUUCAUUGCUGACAUUAGCCCUGCACCAGCGGGAGAACGUUUCUUCCUUUAAUCACCCCAAGAUUAGCCUGCAGUUGCCUCUUUCUGUUGGAUAUUUGAAUAACAAGCUUGAUGAGGCCACUUAACUCCCUCCAAUUACAGCUAAAGAUUUCCUAGAUGAAAGACCUUGAUCCACUGCCUUUCAUGAUUCAGCACUGGAUUUUCUGUUCCAUGCAGCCUUCUAUUGGAAUAAUUUUGUGAAAUGAAGGCAACAAAGUAUUGUUUUCUUAAUCAAAGAGAACUUCAUAAAAAUUGUGCUCCUUGACUGCUAAUUUGUCCUGCAUUGUUACCGAUGCUUUUCUUAUGAUUUUUGUUUUGCACUGAACAGCCCCCUGGCUGAGAGAAAACCCCGAAGCAGUUAAGAUACCAGGAAAGGAAGACUUGAAAAUUGGUUAGUGAAGAUUCUGAGUAUUUCCUGGUGCGUCUGGGAAUUUUGUUUGUUUUUUGUGGUGAUAUUUCUUUCUCUCUGUAUGUCUCUGUCUCUCUGUCUCUAUCUGCAUCUCUGCCCUUGUUAGAAGGGACUAAUUAGAAUGGCACAAACACGUUAGAAUUGGAGAUCAUUGUUGCAAAGGCCCUUAGGAAGAGGGGGGCAGUUUUGGUCCAUUCUGAAGGCUAUCAAGGCGGUUUCCAGCUUGCUCUUGGCACGAAAAGGAAUAACCAGGGCCAUUUUAAUGCCAUGGGCAGGGAAAGCAUGAUGCAAAGCUUUUGGAGGGGCCACCGGGUAACAACAGGAGAGCACCAGAACUCACGGAGAGAGCAGAGGUUGAGGAAGCCUGGCGCCCCAGCGACAAAGCAGUGUCCCCGACAAAAGAAAGAUUCAAUCUUGGAAACAGAAACAUGAAGUGAAUGUUUAAUACCAUGGUCCAAGAAGAUGGCAUUUUCUGUGACUGGAACAAUGCAGAAUUAAUGUGUAUCUGCAAGAAAUAUCAUUAAGAUUAAGUAUUCUUCAGAGAGAUUGGAGAAUCGGGGAAUUCAAGUGCGUUUGUUGGCUUGAGCCAGCCCUCCGCUACCUGACCCAUCUGCAGGCAGAAAGGGCAUCCACCAAGGUAAAGACAUCUGCUGGAAGACAAAAGUAAAGAUGUGAAUUUUCUUUCAAUUUCCUGAGAGAGCACAAUACUUACAGUUCUCUCUUUUAAUGCGACUCUGGAUUGCUUUUUCCCUGACAGUUGCUGUAGAGAUAGCAUAGGCUUGCUGCUUGGCACAGAAGUACUCUUUAUUUCAUUGUAAUUAGCAAGGGUAAUUUUCUGGCAUGGCUCCGGAAUGGUCCAUGAGGGGUUUUCAUGUCUGAAAGCAGAGGAGAGUUCAAGGUCAGAUCCUGAGCUUCAGCAGUGAGGACGAGUUGGAAUCCAGAGCUGGAAUUGUGAUGCUGGAGCACAGGUGAGUCUUUCUCAGUAGAGGAGGCAGUGUGCUGUUAUAUGCUGAUGCAGCUCCUUGUCUUGGACUCAUAACUGACAGAACAGCAUGUGGACCUCACCGCUCCUUGGACUUCGAGUGGCGCUACUCUAACGCUGAGUCCUGACCUGGAUCCCUGUUUGCUUGCCUAGACCUAAGGCGGUGGUGCAGACCUUCCCCCACCCCACAUACCAUCGCCUUCUGGAAUGUGGCUUUGUGGAACUGAGGCUGAGACAAUCACAGUGCCCCAUUCUUCUGGUCAUGUGACAGGUCUGGACCUGGUCAUGUGGCAAAGUCGAAUCUAAGUCACAUCAAAGCAGGGAGAGUUAAAGCAAAUCUUUUCUCUCUUGUUGUGGAGCUGGAAUAUGAGCCCAGAAGCUUCCAGAACACAUGGUCCUGCCCUCAUAAAGAAGCUCAAGUGAGGGAACAAAAUCGACUUAGGUAGCAGCGAGCAUGGAUGGGGCCUGGCUACAUCAAGUUCUCAGAUCCUGUUGUCCCCACCCACCCCCUGUAACUUGCCAAUUUUAUCCAUCAAGCAUCCUCUCCUCUCUCCCAACUUGUCUGAGUUCUGUUUCUGUCAUUGUCACCAAGAGAGCUUUGAUGAGUAAGAAAUCCCAACAUUCCACGGGAGUCUUGGUGGUUUAAAUUUUUAAGUGAGUCCUCACUUGUUAAAGUCUUAUUCCUGUUAGAGGGCACUUCCAUAGUCCAGAAGGUGGGGAAUUCCUAUAGGUGACCUGUGGUCUCUCUAAGCAAUUUGACCAGGACUAUUUAAUAAAAUAUUUUAAAAAUGGUUCCUUUUAAUUAUUCAUUUUCAAAUGUAUAUUUGUUCUUGGCAAACAAGAGAUGAUUUGCGUUAAUCAGUGAUCUUUAAGCAAAUUCCUUGCAAUACUUUAUCUCCAUAUAAACUCGAAGCUUCUUAAAUGAAAUAGUACCUGUGUAUUUCAUAUGGCUUCCUCUUUUAUAAAUAAAAUGAAUGGACUUGGGACCAAAACAGAAUUUUUUUUUUCGGGAACUAUAGGACUGGAAUCUUUUUAUCCAAGGCAGUUGGAUCCCACAGUACAUUUUCACUGUAACAGACAAUGAGGUUGAGUCAAUAAAUAAAUAAAUAAAGUCACCAACAUGUCCAAAAGCCUCCAUUUAAAACUCAAAGCCAGUGGUUUUGGGUUUCACCUUUUCCUUUAAAAUUAAAUUCCCUGAAACCAUAUUUUAAAAAUGCUAUCUGAAUGGGAACCGCCAAACUGGGAAACUUUAAGUUUAAAAAUAGAACUGCAUCUGAAUUAUCUUAUAGAAAUUUGUCUUCUAACCAGCCAUCAGUAACUGUAAGCAUGCUUCAUAGAUCUACAUAUUUCAGCACUUUUUACAUUCUGAAAGAAUCUUGCUUAGAUACGAAGGUUAACUGGACACCUUUUUCUGCAUUCACCUUUAAUACUGGAUGCCCCCUUUAUCUGCACUCCCAAGCUGGGAAGCCCCAGAGUGGGCUCUUGGCCCCUUGCGGCCAACUGAAGUUCUCCAUCUCUGCAGCCUCCGUGAUCACCUUAAGAAUAGGCUCGCGACCUCCUUUGGGCCACACAGAGUCCUUCUCAGGGCUUGCGCUGGAGCUCUCAGGAGGGAUGCUCGCUUUCUCACUGAUCAGGAACUCUAAGGACCAAAGCCUGGAGUGAGGAUGUGAUCUGCUUGCAAGCGAAGGAGGCAGGAGGCAGCCGGACUCGAGGGCACACAUGACCUGGCAGGGCUGAACCUCAGGCUCCGGUGAGGCUGGCUCCUGACUGCCCCUCUGGACUUUCUCAGUUAUUUCAGGCCAUGGAUUAUCUUUAGUGCUUAAGCUAGUUUGAGUUGUGUUUCUGCCACUCAUAAUUCAGAGAAUCCUGGUGGCUUCAGUGUGAUCAGGAAGACAUUGGGAGCCAUUUUAGUUUUUACUUAACUUUUCCAAACUUGCUAGACAGGCUGAUUAUGGGUCUGUGCUAGUCUGGGAACCUGUGUUUGCUCUCUUAAGCCAUGGGUCUUAGACUCAUUUCCUGUUGCAAACAGGAUGCACUGCACAUUUUUACUGUGUUUUUGCUGCCCAUAAGUGGGAGGCAGAUUCGAAUGAUAGAAUUGGAAAGGUUCCAAAAGCACCAGCCAUGGUAGGGACCCUGAAGAUUGCAAGAUAAACAAAAGCAUUCAGAACUUGUGAUGGGAGUGUGAGAGGAUUGAGCGUUGAAGUCAGCCUAACAGAGGCUGUCGUUUACCCGGUGAAAUCCUCAAGUUACAAACAGCUGCUGUGCAAUUGGAAGUCACAGUCUUCAGUUAGGCUUGAUUUGUCAUUUGGUUUAUAAAUAAGCUUUCAUUUUGUCUUUUUUUUUUUUUUUUUUUGGUCUGGCAAUGUGGUAUCUCUUCCUUGCAGGAUUUGGGAAGCUGGGAAUAUGUGUGACCCACACUACCUGAGGGUGAUAGACUUUGACAGUGUCUCCAGCAUUUUCAUGUUGAAAUCUGCUUUAUCCUAAUUUCCAGUCUUGGUCUUGUCUGUCACAGGCUGGGGAGAAGAGCACCGUCCAGAGAAGGACCCAAUAAGGGACAUUUCCACCUUGCUUAGUGGGUUGAGGGCUGGGCUUUGGGUUUGAGAUGUGAAGAGAAAGAAGCUACGUGGAAGAGAAAGGAUGGAGGUACAAGGACGCCCUCCAGCCGGCUACACUUCUGAAACUAAAACAUACAAAACUCAGUGGCUUUUCCUCAACUCCUAUGAUGGAUGUGCAAGGACGCCCUCCAGCUGGCUGCAUUUCUGAUGCUAAAAAUACAAAACUCAGCAGCUUUGCCCAUACUCCUAUGAUGCCUG
rnacentral:lncRNA from 10 species